UGAAUUCAACUAGUUUCACAUUUGAUCUUUUCAGUGUUUCAGUGAAAUAAUUUCCUUAUUUCUAUCCUAUCCUCCUUUUGCAGACAAUGGCCAAUACCAACUGCCCUGUGUUUCUCCUGCUGCAGUACAUGAGAGCUAAGAUGGGCCUGCUGGAGACGGGUGGGUUCAGAGGAGGGGUCAUCAGGGAGGGUGGAAUGAAGGCCUGGGGGAUGAUGAUGACUGUUUCCUGAUUGAAAUGCUGUGCCAAUGGUCCCCAAGGCUAUUGCUCUUACAGGCAAGAGCUAGUGGAUCUGUGUGAUGACCACGGGGCUCUGAAGCUCUUUCUGUCCCAGCAGCCUCAGGAGUGUGCCAGCUGACUACUUCCUCACAUUUUGCACUGUUAAUCAUGAGUUCUAUGAAAGUAGAACCACUAGAGUGGACAAGGCCUCUAUGAAACUAUUUCUAAUUGUCAAAAAAGGAGUUUCUAUCUAUACAUGGCUCUUCUUUGUUUUUAAGUAUUUGUUUAUCUUAUCAGGAAACCCAAAGGAUGGUGCCUAUGUUUCCAUCACCCCCUUAGUGGCCAACCCAGACGCUGCACUUCUGAAGAGCCUGCAGACUCAGACUGACAGUCUGGAGAGGGCUCGUCUCAGACAGCUCCACUCUCAGGAGGACUGCAUAGCCAAGGAGGCUAAGAGCCAGGGCCGUGCAGUACAUAUUGACGCCCCUGACGACGAACGCUCCAAUCGCCGGACUUGAGGCAGAAAGAGCAGGAACUGAGAGAACCUGUCAAUCUUACAAUCAUUUAUGUAUAAAUGAAGGUGUAAAUAUGAUCUAGUGGACCCUGAGUCAUCAAAGUCUAAGCUAGCCAAUAGUCAUCAGUGUUGAAUAAUACAGUCGUCAUGAACCCUUCGCGGAACUCUUAAUCAAAACAACAAUCCUGGGAUUCUUGGGUGACCACAAUCAUACCAAACCAGACCCUGUUAUACACUGGAUUGUGUAGAGUACAUUUUUGGGUUUGAUCCUCUUUGUGUAUCCCCAUUCAGACCAAAGGUAAAUCCUGGGUCUGUAUUGCAUUGUGGAAAAUGCAAUGAUCAUUAUCAAUGAUUCACAGUGAACAAAGUUGUUGUACCAAAUAUGACCGGAGGGGAGAGAUAAGAUUCAACAGGCCCAGUGAAGUAGUGUUUGUUUGUUUACGCAAGAGUGCCUAUGAUGAUGCUGCUAAUGUGAAUAAUUAUUCACAUUUUCAGUGGAAUAACUUGCUUGUCUUUACAGACUUGUCUGGAUAAAACAAUGUUUUUGAUCUGUAAUGGGUGCUAUAAAAAGUCAUAUUAUUCAUAUAUACAUAUAUUCUAGAAAUCUUAUGACUAUAGAUAGAAAUACAAGUCUCUUAUCCAAUUGUUAUGCUCCCACUCCCAUGUCCAAUACUCUUUAAGUUCUGUUUUAAGAUGGUCCCUUGAAAUUAAGUUCCAGAUGAUGUCACUUUCUGCUUCUGUGAUUGGUGGGUAUGAAUACCUGUUUGUUACCAAACUUGAAUCAGUUGGCAAAAUUUGAUGAAAAUAACUGAAUUGGGAUAAAUAUAUUUAGAAAUGGAGCUCUGACAUCACUGUUUAUUUUCCAAGAGUGAGAGUUUUGUUUUGUGUCUCUUAAUCUUCUUUUCAUCUAGGUGUUAUGAUCAACAUACGUAUUUUGCUUUUUGAGGCUUUCCCCAAGAUUUUUUUUCUUGAAAUUAAUUUAUCUUGACCAGUGAGUGAACUUUAAAUUAGGGGUGGUAUGUUCAGGCUAACUGACUGAGGGACUGACUGAGUGAUGUGACAGUGUGCCAGUCUCUCUGCUAAAGGUUUAUUAAGCCACCUCUGGUGGGUGGCUUGGCACUGUGAAACAGGAAGUCAUGGGUGAAAUGCCAGCAGGUGGUUCCUCCCAGUGUUUGUGGUUUACUAUAUCUUCUAAGUUAUGUACAGGCCUGGAUCAGAUGGUUUCAAUGGCUCCAUAGUGUACGUGCCUGGUAACAUUUGGCACAUUGUUGUUGGUGGUGUGACUGCCUGGGGGGUUUUGAGGACGAGUUGCCAGAGUGUGGAGGCUAGCAUUUCGGCAGAAUAUUGUUAAGUAACUUGUUCUCUUGCCGUUGGUA
ensembl:lncRNA